CCAUGGUGUACCAGUACCCACAUCCGAGCACCGGGACUCAAUCUGCAGAUUUUCUAAUUCUAAUUUUAAUCUGACUCUAAUUGAUUUUAAAAUCUAUAAAUACAAUGUUAGAGUCCUCUAUGACGUAGAAACACUCAGAAUUCAUAAGAGAGCAACCCUAGAGGCUAAGUUUUCGUUCUUAACCUUUCUCCACCAUAUAGCUUCAUUAGAUCAAUUCGAGAUAAUGAAAUUCAAUAUGUAUAUAUCCAAUUGAUUUACGAUUCGCUUAGAGACCUUUCUCUGAUUCUUUAACGAUACUCUAAGAAAAGGAUCAUCAUAGAAACAUGUAUUUUCUUGUUGUGAGUGGCGUCGUGAAUUCAACGUGAUCAAGGUGAUUCGUGGAUUCGAAUCGUGACUGCUCGAGGAUUCGAGUGGCGUCCGUGGAUUUGAACGCGGGGCGUGGACAAUCUGAUGACGUGCGCGAGAUCCGUAUGAGGUAAAAGAAAGGUCAAGUCUUUGGAAUUGGUAAUCACCUUGUAAUCUUUUACGCUUAAUAGAUUAUUUUUUCGCAUAUUGGUCCCGUGAGUUUUUCUUAAAAUUGAAGUUUUUUCAUGUAAAUCUCGGUGUGGUUUUUAUUUUUUGCAUUUAUUUUUAUCGCAUUAAGAUUUGUAUUUUUGGCCUAUUCACCUAUUCACCCCCCUCUAGGUGUUUGAUAAUAUCUAGAUAGAUUCUAGGGUUCCCUAUAAC
rnacentral:lncRNA from 1 species